GAUGAAGAACGCAGCGAAAUGCGAUAAGUAAUGUGAAUUGCAGAAUUCAGUGAAUCAUCGAAUCUUUGAACGCACAUUGCGCCCGCCAGUAUUCUGGCGGGCAUGCCUGUUCGAGCGUCAUUUCAACCAUCAAGCCCCCGGGCUUGUGUUGGGGACCUGCGGCUGCCGCAGGCCCUGAAAGGCAGUGGCGGGCUCGCUGUCACACCGAGCGUAGUAGAUUUUAUCUCGCUCAGGGCGUGCUGCGGGUUCCGGCCGUUAAACCACCUUCAUAACCCAAGGUUGACCUCGGAUCAGGUAGGAAGACCCGCUGAACUUAAGCAUAUCAAUAAGCGGAGGA
rnacentral:misc_RNA from 1 species